rnacentral:rRNA from 1 species
AUACGUAGGGGGCAAGCGUUAUCCGGAUUUACUGGGUGUAAAGCGAGCGUAGACGGUGUGACAAGUCUGAUGUGAAAACCCGGGGCUCAACUCCGGGAUUGCAUUGGAAACUGCCAUACUUGAGUGCAGGAGAGGUAAGCGGAAUUCCUAGUGUAGCGGUGAAAUGCGUAGAUAUUAGGAGGAACACCGGCGGCGAAGGCGGCUUACUGGACUGUAACUGACGUUGAGGCUCGAAAGCGUGGGGAGCAAACAGGAUUAGAUACCCUGGUAGUCCACGCGGUAAACGAUGAAUACUAGGUGUUGGGGGUCUAUAGACCCUCGGUGCCGCAGCAAACGCAAUAAGUAUUCCACCUGGGGAGUACGUUCGCAAGAAUGAAACUCAAAUGAAUUGACGGGG